rnacentral:rRNA from 1 species
UGGCUCAGAACGAACGCUGGCGGCAGGCUUAACACAUGCAAGUCGAACGCCCCGCAAGGGGAGUGGCAGACGGGUGAGUAACGCGUGGGAACAUACCCUUUUCUACGGAAUAGCUCUGGGAAACUGGAAUUAAUACCGUAUACGCCCUACGGGGGAAAGAUUUAUCGGGGAAGGAUUGGCCCGCGUUGGAUUAGCUAGUUGGUGGGGUAAAGGCCUACCAAGGCGACGAUCCAUAGCUGGUCUGAGAGGAUGAUCAGCCACAUUGGGACUGAGAC